AGAGUUUGAUCCUGGCUCAGGAUGAACGCUGGCGGCGUGCUUAACACAUGCAAGUCGAACGGUGAACACGGAGCUUGCUCUGUGGGAUCAGUGGCGAACGGGUGAGUAACACGUGAGCAACCUGCCCCUGACUCCGGGAUAAGCGCUGGAAACGGCGUCUAAUACUGGAUAUGUGACGUGACCGCAUGGUCUGCGUCUGGAAAGAAUUUCGGUUGGGGAUGGGCUCGCGGCCUAUCAGCUUGUUGGUGAGGUAAUGGCUCACCAAGGCGUCGACGGGUAGCCGGCCUGAGAGGGUGACCGGCCACACUGGGACUGAGACACGGCCCAGACUCCUACGGGAGGCAGCAGUGGGGAAUAUUGCACAAUGGGCGCAAGCCUGAUGCAGCAACGCCGCGUGAGGGACGACGGCCUUCGGGUUGUAAACCUCUUUUAGCAGGGAAGAAGCGAAAGUGACGGUACCUGCAGAAAAAGCGCCGGCUAACUACGUGCCAGCAGCCGCGGUAAUACGUAGGGCGCAAGCGUUAUCCGGAAUUAUUGGGCGUAAAGAGCUCGUAGGCGGUUUGUCGCGUCUGCUGUGAAAUCCGGAGGCUCAACCUCCGGCCUGCAGUGGGUACGGGCAGACUAGAGUGCGGUAGGGGAGAUUGGAAUUCCUGGUGUAGCGGUGGAAUGCGCAGAUAUCAGGAGGAACACCGAUGGCGAAGGCAGAUCUCUGGGCCGUAACUGACGCUGAGGAGCGAAAGGGUGGGGAGCAAACAGGAUUAGAUACCCUGGUAGUCC
rnacentral:rRNA from 1 species